rnacentral:rRNA from 1 species
GGAGCCGAAGGGAAACCGAGUCUUAACUGGGCGUUAAGUUGCAGGGUAUAGACCCGAAACCCGGUGAUCUAGCCAUGGGCAGGUUGAAGGUUGGGUAACACUAACUGGAGGACCGAACCGACUAAUGUUGAAAAAUUAGCGGAUGACUUGUGGCUGGGGGUGAAAGGCCAAUCAAACCGGGAGAUAGCUGGUUCUCCCCGAAAGCUAUUUAGGUAGCGCCUCGUGAAUUCAUCUCCGGGGGUAGAGCACUGUUUCGGCAAGGGGGUCAUCCCGACUUACCAACCCGAUGCAAACUGCGAAUACCGGAGAAUGUUAUCACGGGAGACACACGGCGGGUGCUAACGUCCGUCGUGAAGAGGGAAACAACCCAGACCGCCAGCUAAGGUCCCAAAGUCAUGGUUAAGUGGGAAACGAUGUGGGAAGGCCCAGACAGCCAGGAUGUUGGCUUAGAAGCAGCCAUCAUUUAAAGAAAGCGUAAUAGCUCACUGGUCGAGUCGGCCUGCGCGGAAGAUGUAACGGGGCUAAACCAUGCACCGAAGCUGCGGCAGCGACGCUUAUGCGUUGUUGGGUAGGGGAGCGUUCUGUAAGCCUGUGAAGGUGUACUGUGAGGUAUGCUGGAGGUAUCAGAAGUGCGAAUGCUGACAUAAGUAACGAUAAAGCGGGUGAAAAGCCCGCUCGCCGGAAGACCAAGGGUUCCUGUCCAACGUUAAUCGGGGCAGGGUGAGUCGACCCCUAAGGCGAGGCCGAAAGGCGUAGUCGAUGGGAAACAGGUUAAUAUUCCUGUACUUGGUGUUACUGCGAAGGGGGGACGGAGAAGGCUAUGUUGGCCGGGCGACGGUUGUCCCGGUUUAAGCGUGUAGGCUGGUUUUCCAGGCAAAUCCGGAAAAUCAAGGCUGAGGCGUGAUGACGAGGCACUACGGUGCUGAAGCAACAAAUGCCCUGCUUCCAGGAAAAGCCUCUAAGCAUCAGGUAACAUCAAAUCGUACCCCAAACCGACACAGGUGGUCAGGUAGAGAAUACCAAGGCGCUUGAGAGAACUCGGGUGAAGGAACUAGGCAAAAUGGUGCCGUAACUUCGGGAGAAGGCACGCUGAUAUGUAGGUGAAGCGACUUGCUCGUGGAGCUGAAAUCAGUCGAAGAUACCAGCUGGCUGCAACUGUUUAUUAAAAACACAGCACUGUGCAAACACGAAAGUGGACGUAUACGGUGUGACGCCUGCCCGGUGCCGGAAGGUUAAUUGAUGGGGUCAGCGCAAGCGAAGCUCUUGAUCGAAGCCCCGGUAAACGGCGGCCGUAACUAUAACGGUCCUAAGGUAGCGAAAUUCCUUGUCGGGUAAGUUCCGACCUGCACGAAUGGCGUAAUGAUGGCCAGGCUGUCUCCACCCGAGACUCAGUGAAAUUGAACUCGCUGUGAAGAUGCAGUGUACCCGCGGCAAGACGGAAAGACCCCGUGAACCUUUACUAUAGCUUGACACUGAACAUUGAGCCUUGAUGUGUAGGAUAGGUGGGAGGCUUUGAAGUGUGGACGCCAGUCUGCAUGGAGCCGACCUUGAAAUACCACCCUUUAAUGUUUGAUGUUCUAACGUGGACCCGUGAUCCGGGUUGCGGACAGUGUCUGGUGGGUAGUUUGACUGGGGCGGUCUCCUCCUAAAGAGUAACGGAGGAGCACGAAGGUUGGCUAAUCCUGGUCGGACAUCAGGAGGUUAGUGCAAUGGCAUAAGCCAGCUUGAC